UCUCUCUCAGUCGAGUGCCGAAGCAACCAUCGCAGCGCAAGCACUCUCGAUCUCCCUCUCUUAGAUCUCUCCCUCUUUCUUUGUCCAUAUCCCGCUCAAUCUCUCUCUUGAGAUCGGCCAUCAUCAAUGUUGAAUGUUGAAACCCUAAUUGAGGUUUUACAAUGAAAAUUCACACAGUUUGAUUUUUUUCAGCGAAACUGUCAUUUAGACCUAAUCACUAGAUCUGUGUGUUGGUUUGUGCUUGUUGUUGUGUGUGUUGGUUGUUUUCUUAUUUCACCAGACGUUAAGUAGGAAUCCUAAAAUAGGCCAUGGAAGAUGGAGAGAUCGAUUUUCAGUUCAGGUCUGCACUUCUGAAUUCCUCAUUUCCAUCUCAGAGAUCGGCACAUCUAUUUAAUGGCUAGUGGGAAGAUAUUGGGACCGUUAAGUCCUUUUUUGAUGCUAAAUUGGCUCUCACAUAUUAUCCUCCCAAGUUUCAAUUUUAUGAUCUGCUGAAGCCAAUCUUCACGUCUCCUAGGUUUCUACCACCAACAAAGAUAGAAAAAUGCCAGAUUUUGGCCUCACUAAUUUCACAUGGAUGCUUCUUAAGGGAAUGCAGUAUUGAACAUUCCAUAGUUGGGACAUGUUCAAGACUGAAGUAUGGGUCUGAACUGAAGGUAGUUCAUGUCUCAUCCAUGACGCACUUCCUUGACAGAGAUUUGUGAAUGGUAUCAUGAGCUCCUGAAGGAACUCAAGAAAGGAGAGAAAAAGGCCAGAAUAGUUGCUGACUUUGAUUUGGAUGCAUACAUGAAUGUGGUCUACUGUUUGCUUCCUUUUAUUCUAGAGGUGGUUAAAAAGUUAGUUUCUAUUGGCAAUGAUUAAAAGCUACAGUUAAUUUUGACAGGCAAUAACAGUCGAUUCGAGCUCAAAAUGAGAAUGAAUCCCUUCAAAUGGAGUUCAAAAUAGCAACAUAUUAAGGGAAAGGAAGUGCGUUUUGUGCUGGUGGUGAUGUUCUAAAUAUGGCUCAUUUUGUAAUCACCAGUAGAUGUCUCUUUUCUAGCCUGCGACAAAUCCUUUAAUGACAAGAUAUAAUACAUUGCAAUAGAUUUUUUUUUGGUGAUAUUAAGUCAAUGUAGCGAACGUUUUAUGAAACUCAAUUUUGGAUCUUUGUUUGAUGAUUUUUACUCAA